rnacentral:lncRNA from 1 species
UGGAACUAUUUACAUGGGAAUGCAAAGAAAAGCCUUGUUAUCAGACAAGAUGUCAUCAUUACAAGAAGACACAGAAGGCAAAGCAACAACUUUGUUAUCAUUACAAGAAGCAGAUGCAGGACCAACAGAAGUAGAAGAACAAUUAACAGAGGGAGAAGGGGAAGAAGGAACCCAAGCUAAUUUAUACAGUCCAGCAACUUCUCUACCAAGAUCCAGUGGCCUCUUCAGAGAAGGGUCCUGUAUCAUGUGUAGUAAGCAGGAAUGUUCAGUGAACAUAACUAUACAAUGUAACUGCUUCACUAACUUGUGAACAGAAAUCAAGUUAUGUUUAAAAGAAGGAACUAGCAGUACAUUGUGAAGAGUAAUGGAAGGAGUUAAGGCAAAGGAGCCAGUGCAAGUCACUUUCACUUUACAGCCAUUUGGAAGAGUGACAAGAUAUGGCAGAGUUAGAAGUAUAAUGUUAAAAAGUAGUUGUUUAUCA